AGUGUAGUGGGGACCCUAGAUUUGAGCAUCCGCUGCUUGUUGCCUAGAGAAACCUGUCCUGGGGUAUGUGUUAUGAUUGCCAAAUUUGGAUUUCUAGUGUCAAACCAGUAAAUAAGUAUAAUUAUAUGCUUCUCUUGCCUCAAUUGGAAAUGUGUCAUCUCUCAGGAAAGGGUGAAAGCCCCUCUCUUUUGCAGCAUUGACAGGACAAGCCAAAGCAGAUAUGGUUACAUUGCAAACCUGUGUGUUGCCAAAACUGCCCGCCGCCAGGGCAUUGGAACCAACAUGUUGUAUUUUGCUGUAAAAUUAGCUAAAUCAAAUGGUGCAGAACAGGUAUUUGUGCAUGUACAUAAAAAGAACAUACCUGCAUUGGGACUUUACAGAAAGAUGGGCUUUCAGGUAAGCACAAUGUAGUUAACCGUGCAUUUCUGACUGCACCUGCAGGCUUGUGCUUAAUCAUUGAGAGCUGAUGCAACUUUUACCCUCUACAUGAUCAGGUCGUUGAAAUGGCAACCUCCCAAUUGUCAAAAGAGCAAACUUACUUGCUUUGCUUAGGAUUGUAAACGUAUAUGGUUUAACUUUAUUGAUUACAUGGAAAGAAAUCUGUCAUGCUCAGAGACCAUAACAGCUCAGUAGCUCACCCCAGAACAGGGCAUGAUGAAGACAAAAGAUUAUCUCUAAAUUUUGUGAAAGCAUACCAGAAAUUCUUGCACUCCAAAGUAACUAUCAAGGAAGGCCGAUACUGAAUGAACAAAGGACAGCUUCCAGAAAAAAAGAAAAAGGAAGAAAAGGUUAAUACAUAUUAGCGUUUUGGCAGGUCCAACUGUUGUGAUCCACAAAUAAAAAUUCCAACCAAUACCUGCAGGUAAUUUAUGUAUAACAAGGGAAUUGACCUCAGGUGCAAUUUUGUUUUUCUUCUCUAGAAAUAAAAAAUAAAACAUAAAAAAUAAAAAAUAAAAACAUAUCAACCCUUAUUCCUGCUA